rnacentral:lncRNA from 1 species
GGCAUCGUAUACUCACCGUUGCAGUGGUCAUGGCGAACCUGCUGCCUCUGGCGGCACACACGCCAUGGCGGUCCUCCCUGGGGUUCCCGUACUGCUGACCUCUUUCCACUGCCCUACGGUGUCGACGAUGGAUGCUACACCGAGACCCCCCGGAACACAACACCACCAAAGCUACUGCGCCUUCCGCUUGCGGGGCGUGAGCGCACCGUCUAAUGCGCCAAACGAUGCUGACCCACCCCCACACCUGGUAUCGCAUUGGGCCUCGCAGCGUCCUCACACAAGAACUGUGACGUCAUCAAUGAUACCACGAAACCACUACAAAAGGAGCCAGCCUCGCGGGUGACCAUGUAAUGGGCUUGGCAGCACGACAGCGACAGCUAUGGCUCGACCUAACUGGCUCGUCUUUGCUAUGCACGAUUUUUCGAAACUCUGU